UGGGGAAACUGCGUUCAGAGCAGGC
rnacentral:piRNA from 1 species